rnacentral:SRP_RNA from 1 species
UUUUGGUCCUCUCGCAAUGAUACUUUGUGAACUCGGUCAGACUCGGAAGGGAGCAGCCGUAGCAAAGAACUCAUGUGCCGGGAUGUGGCUGAUUGGG